CGACCGGCGCACGGGUGCGUAACGCGUAUGCAACCUACCUUUAACAGGGGAGUAACACUGAGAAAUUGGUACUAAUACCCCAUAAUAUCAUAGAAGGCAUCUUUUAUGGUUGAAAAUUCCGAUGGUUAGAGAUGGGCAUGCGUUGUAUUAGCUAGUUGGUGGGGUAACGGCUCACCAAGGCGACGAUACAUAGGGGGACUGAGAGGUUAACCCCCCACACUGGUACUGAGACACGGACCAG
rnacentral:rRNA from 1 species